rnacentral:rRNA from 1 species
AUUGAACGCUGGCGGAAUGCUUACACAUGCAAGUCGAACGGUAGAGGGGCAACCCUUGAGAGUGGCGAACGGGUGAGUAAUAUAUCGGAACGUGCCCAGUCGUGGGGGAUAACGUAGCGAAAGUUACGCUAAUACCGCAUACGAUCUAAGGAUGAAAGCGGGGGACCGUAAGGCCUCGCGCGAUUGGAGCGGCCGAUAUCAGAUUAGGUAGUUGGUGGGGUAAAGGCUCACCAAGCCAACGAUCUGUAGCUGGUCUGAGAGGACGACCAGCCACACUGGAACUGAGACACGGUCCAGACUCCUACGGGAGGCAGCAGUGGGGAAUUUUGGACAAUGGGCGAAAGCCUGAUCCAGCCAUUCCGCGUGCAGGAUGAAGGCCCUCGGGUUGUAAACUGCUUUUGUACAGAACGAAAAGGUCUCUAUUAAUACUAGGGGCUCAUGACGGUACUGUAAGAAUAAGCACCGGCUAACUACGUG